rnacentral:rRNA from 1 species
GGACUACCCGGGUUUCUAAUCCUGUUCGCUCCCCACGCUUUCGCUCCUCAGCGUCAGUAUCGGCCCAGAGACCCGCCUUCGCCACCGGUGUUCCUCCUGAUAUCUGCGCAUUUCACCGCUACACCAGGAAUUCCAGUCUCCCCUACCGAACUCAAGUCUGCCCGUAUCGACCGCAAGCUUGAAGUUAAGCCUCAAGUUUUCACGGUCGACGCGACAAACCGCCUACGAGCUCUUUACGCCCAAUAAUUCCGGACAACGCUCGCACCCUACGUAUUACCGCGGCGGCUGGCAC